rnacentral:lncRNA from 1 species
AACGGAUCCCAGGUACCAUUAUGGUGAUUGAUAAAAAAAAAAUCUACAUUUUCGAUUAGAAUUGUCGGUGCUACAAUGCUCCCAUUUGUGAUGAUGCAGAUCCAUAAAGUGAUUUAAGCUUGAGAAACUGCAUCCACAAUAUUGAUAAGGAAACAAAUGGAAAUCUCUAAAAACAGUGAAAUUUCAGUGACAACAAAACAUGACUAUGAUAGAGUAAGUGAGGUCAAAGCAUUUGAUGAAACAAAAGAUGGUGUUAAAGGACUUGUUGAUGCUUCUGUCACAAAAAUUCCUCGCAUGUUCCAUCAUAAAUUCGACAAGGAUUUAUCUUCAACUUCAAGCAACAUCACCAAACUUGAUGUUCCUACUAUUGACCUUGUUGAUAUUCAUCAAGAUCCAACAAGAAGGAAAAUAGUUGUUGAGCAAAUUAGAGAGGCAUCUGAGAAAUGGGGCUUCUUUCAAAUUGUUAAUCAUGGAAUUGAAGUGAGUGUUUUGGAUGAGAUGAAGAAUGGAGUGAUUAGAUUCUACGAGCAAGAUUCUGAAGUGAAAAGAGAACUAUACUCACGUGAACCUUUGAGGCCUUUGGUUUAUAAUAGCAACUUUGAUCUUUAUACUUCGGCAGCUGCUUGUUGGAGGGAUACCUUUUCUUGUCUUAUGGCUCCAAAAUCUCCUAAACCAGAAGAUUUGCCAUCAGUAUGCAGGUAUAUUAUAGAUAUAAUCUUUAAUUUCACCACCAGUAUCCUGCCCACUGGACCACCUAAUUUGGUUCGGGAGUCAGUUCUGGCAUCAAGUGAUUUCAGUCCCCUUUCGAUCGUAGUUGCGGGGGGAUCAAACUCUUUAACUCAAUCUACUACUAUACAGUUCUCACUCAUGGACAUAAGUAAAAGCUACCAGUUCCUUACUCAAAGAACUCGUAACGGUACUUGGAUUGGAGUAGAAACUUGAUCCUACUAAUUACGUAGAACCAUGAACCAUCAAGUGAGUUCGAGGUGGUUCAUGCUUUUUAUAUUAGUCAUUAUAUGCUAAGGCAAAGGUUGUAACCAUGGUCAUGCGUGCCGUAAGCGGGCUCUGGUGGGGGAACCCGUAGGAAGGGGGACAACCCCGAGCUUAAUUACGACACCAGCCUACCGAUCCUACGUAGGAUCUCUAACCUGACUUACGUUGCUAACAAUAGCCUAGGAUCAGGAUGAUGUAAAAUCAAGGAAUAGUAAAAACACACCGACUUUUAAUAAAAGAUAUAUUAAAUCUAAGUCUUGUCACGUUCCUUAAUAUUGCCGUGAAGUAUGGUUAAAUGUGACUGAUAUAUUCUCUCUAUUGCAGCCGCAGAGACAUUAAAAACAUUGGUGUUGCGGUAAAGGUUGCAGUCACAGGGUUUAUUUUUCAUAAAAAAUGAUUUGAAUUUAUUUGGUUAUGUCUAUUAGGAAUUUUGUAUAUGCAAGAGUUAUAUAUUUUGGCCUUACAUCUCUGACCAAUUGUACUUACAUCUCUGACUACAGAGCGGGGCUGCGGUACCUUUCUAUUAAUCAAACUUAGAGUUUACAGAGUAAAACUUGUGUUUAAAUAUUACGGUCUUGUUUACAAAAUUACCCCUGAACUAUGAGCCUUGCUCGAGCAACUUGCCAAUUUAUCAAUAAACCUCGAGUCAUAUCUAACAAUAUCAUAUCUUUGUAACAGAUUUUGAUAAUAGCUGAGAUUAAACACUAAGAUAUUAUGUGCAUAUGGUUGCAGAGAUAUACUGCUGGAAUACACAAAACAAGUUAUGAAACUGGGAAAUGUAUUGUUUGAGUUAUUAUCAGAAGCACUUGGAUUGAAUCCAAACUACUUAAAUGACAUGAUGAGAUGCGAUGAUGGACUUGCAAUUGCUUGCCAUUACUAUCCUUCUUGUCCUGAACCAGAAUUGACUUUAGGAGCAGCCAGACAUAGCGAUAUUGACUUUAUCACUGUGCUUCUGCAAGAUCAUAUUGGUGGCCUCCAAGUUCUUCAUGAAAAUAAUUGGGUUGAUGUAUCACCUCUUCCUGGUGCUCUUGUAAUCAACAUUGGCGAUCUUCUACAGGUAAUUUUUAUUGAGAUUUUUUUACACCGUCAGUUAAUCACAAUUCUAUCAUUUUUAUGACUUUUAAGAUUAAUAUGAUCAAAAUCAAAUGUUUGUAGUAAUCCAACAGUUAUGAUCAAUUGACAAUAUAAAAUUGUUAAUGCAUAUGAACUAAGCUCAUUUUCAUCUUUUGCUUGUUUUUUGUUUGGAUAAUUUCUUGUGAUUGUAUAGCUUUUAAGAGAGUGAAAGAUGCAAUUUUUCUUUAUUCAUAUUUCUCAGUCUUGUUGCAUCAUGAUUCAUAAUAUUACUUUUUAAAACAUGAGUUCUUGGGAUGAACAAUUAUUAUCGAGACUUUAUUUACCUCACCGCUGAACUCAAGAUUAUCAGAUUCAUUCCCUUAUGAACCGGAAGGUUAACACCAGUUGUGAAUAGAAUUAAAAAUUCACACCAAUAGUACUUUGAUGUGUACGUGCAGCAACCGAUAACCAAGUAAUGCAAUAAUGAUCACGAACAAAAAUGAGAAACACAAUCAAAGAGAAGAAAAACACACAAUAUUGUUUACCCAUUUCAGUCCAACAAAGGCCUACACAUGGGGGAAAGAGCAGUCUUCCGUUCUACUAAUCAAUUGAGUUUUGUUACACAAAGAUUCACAAAGGAGUUACAAGAAUUAACCUUCAAUCCUAGUUCUACCAUUUUCUCGAAUCUCCCAAAAGCAUUCAACUUUUAACCCUAAAGGUUUCCUCUUUCGAUCUAUCUAAGAUUGCUUUCUUUGUUUUUCACUCACUCAAACAUUAUGUUGUUUAUAUAUCGGCAUCAAUCUACUUAUAAUAUUGCAGUGCAAGACAUAACUUUAUGGACUACAACUUGCCAAACAAGAUUGUUAGUCUUGCGCAUUAAGAAAUAUUCUUGUGGCCCAUAUAUCUUGCCAACCAAUAUUGUUAAUCUUACACUUCAAGAGAUAUCCUUAUGGUCCACAUGUCUUGCCAACCGAGAUUACUAGUCUUGCACUUCAAGAAAUAUCCUUGUAACACACAUAUUUUGCUAACAAGUAGCUUAAUAAUUUUGAGUCAUACACAACAACACCGAUAAAAAAAAAGGCAUGAAUAUUUACUUUUUUUUGUUGAUUAACUAAAUUAACAAAUUUGUUGAAAACAGCUUAUAACAAAUGACAAAUUCAAGAGUGUUGAGCACAGAGUGGUGGCAAACCAUGUAGGUCCAAGAGUAUCAGUUGCAAGCUUUUUUAGAAGUUUUCAGCCAUCAACAAGGCUUUAUGGUCCUAUAAAGGAAUUAGUAUCAGAAGAUAAUCCUCCAAUGUACAAGGAAACUACAGUUCAGGAUUAUGUUGAAUUCUCCAUGGCAAGAGGCUUUGAUGGAAUAACUUCUUCUUUGCCAUAUUUCAAGAUUGGAAAUUUCUGAUGCACACACAACAAAUAUGGUUUAACAUGUUUUACAUUAUAAUUAAAAGAACUUUGUAAAAUUUACUUUGCUAUAUUUGGUACAUGCACAUGCGGCAUCUUUUUUUUAUUGUCCAAACUUGGCAUACAUUUAGAUUCUAUAUUUGUGUGGAUGUGUUAGAGUCGGGAUCCGUUGACACCAGGUGUCAAANNNNNNNNNNNNNNNNNNNNNNNNNNNNNNNNNNNNNNNNNNNNNNNNNNNNNNNNNNNNNNNNNNNNNNNNNNNNNNNNNNNNNNNNNNNNNNNNNNNNNNNNNNNNNNUAAGUUUGUUAAAUAUUGUUUUUAGUCUUUUUUUUUUUUUUUGAAGAAGCUAAAUUAGCCACCCAAAUUAAAUUUUUAGCCAUAUUGAAUUUUCUCCCAAAUUUUUUGCCCUAAAAAGUUCUAUUACUUUAUGGUAGGCACACUGAUAAAUCAAAGAUUGCAAAAAUAUGAUAAUACGAAACACAAAAAACCAUAUUUCAUAUUAUUAAUUCACAAAGAAUUAAUUAUAUUGGAGGGAAAAAAAAGCUUUUUUUUCCACAAACUCCAUGAAGAACAUGUUUUCUUCUUUUUCUUUUUUUUUUGAAAACCCAUGAACAACAUGUUGAUAGACCCACGCCAUUAAAAUAAGUUAAGGACAAAUUUUCAAAGGAAAAUAAAUUAAGAGGCAAGAGGUCGAAACAAGAGCACCAAACAUUGUUCUCAUCUGGGAGUAAAAACGAGGAGUAAUUUGGUGAGUAAUGAUCAAGUGGGCAUAAUUGAAGAAUAAACAUGGACCAUUAGAUCAAUUAAAAUCGAUGGAUAAGAUUUGGUGUCAAAAUUAACUUUGACACAUGGUGUCAAUGGAUCUGACACGAUGUAUUAUUCGUCUCAAAAGGAACAUUCAUUAUUAUUAUUAUUAUUAUUAUUAUUAUUAUUAUUAUUAUUAUUAUUAUGUCAAAAAAAAUUAAUUAUUACUUAUGUGAAAUGGUUAAAUGAAUUACUUCAUGUAUUACAAAAGGGAAAAAAUAUUGUUUAAUCUUAUCUUUUCCUUAUCCAUAUGGAAGUCCCAAUUUUAUUUUAUUUUUGAGAGGUGGAGGAAGUCCCAGUUUUUCAAUGGAUUGUCCCAAUCAUGAAAUUAUCUCUUUGACUAAUCAAUUAAACUUUUGUCAUUUGGAAGAAUUGUUCUAGCUUAAAAUUGAGAAGAAUGCAUCCAUUUAAUUUAAGGGUCUAAUGGGGUCGGUUAAUUUUCUCAAUACACAAAUUGACAAAUUUGUUAUCCACUAUGUACCACCUAUUAUGGUGGUUCUUUUUUUUUGGUUUUCACACUGGUUUCUAGGGAUGGGGCGCCAGUAGUCCAGAUUUCGGAGUCAAUUCUGACAUUAAGUGGUUCCGGUCCCUUACCAAAUGCUCAAUUAUGGUGGUCCAUUUUAGCCACUACUCAAUUAUUGUGAUUUUUUUCUGCGAAAUUAUUAGACACGACACUAAAGACGAUAUUGACAUGUUAACAUUAAUAUUUACACUGUCACAUCUUCGGUCAGAAGUAUCAGUGCUACAUAGUUUGAAUCCUCCCACUUGAUGGAUGCAGGUCUAUAAAGAGAUUUAAACUUGAAAAACUGUAUCCACAACAGGGAUAAGGAAAAAAAUGGAAAUCUCUAAAACCAAUGAAAUUUCAGUGACAACAAAACAUGACUAUGAUAGAAUAAGUGAGCUCAAAGCAUUUGAUGACACAAAAGAUGGUGUUAAAGGACUUGUUGAUGCUUCUGUCACAAAAAUCCCUCGCAUGUUCUAUCAUGAAUUCAACAAGGAUUCAUCUUCAACUUCAAGCAACAUCACCAAACUUGAUGUUCCUACUAUUGAUCUUGUUGAUAUUCAUCAAGAUCCAACCACACGGAAAAUAGUUGUCGAGAAAAUUAGAGAAGCAUCUGAAAAAUGGGGUUUCUUUCAAAUUGUUAAUCAUGGAAUUGAAGUGAGUGUUUUGGAUGAGAUGAAGAAUGGAGUGAUUAGAUUCUUUGAGCAAGAUUCUGAAGUGAAACGAGAACUAUAUUCGCGUGAACCUUCGAGGCCUUUCAUUUAUACUAGCAACUUUGAUCUUUAUAAUUCACCAGCUGCAAAUUGGAGGGAUACCUUUUAUUGUAUUAUGGCUCCAAAAUCUCCUAAACCAGAAGAUUUGCCAUCAGUGUGCAGGUAUAUAUUACAACUUGUGUUUAAAUACAACGGUCUAAUUUACAAAAUUACCCUUGAACUAUGAGCCUUGCUUAACGACUUGUCAAUUUUUCACUAAACCUAGGGUCAUACUUAACAAUAUCAUAUCUUUGUAACAGAUUUUGAUAAUAACUUAGAUUAAACACCAAGUUUAGGGCCAAACCAAUUGCAAACAUGAAAUUUUAAGGCCAAACCACGUUUGACUUUUGCAAACGCGCGUUUGAAGCGUUCUAAAACCUAACGAGUACUAAGAUAUUAUGCCCAUAUGAUUGCAGAGAUAUAAUACUGGAAUACACAAAACAAGUUAUGAAACUGGGAAAUGUGCUGUUUGAGUUAUUAUCAGAAGCACUUGGACUGAAUCCAAACUAUUUAAAUGAAAUGAGAUGCAAUGAGGGACAUGCAAUUGUUUGCAAUUACUAUCCUUCUUGUCCUGAACCAGAACUGACUUUGGGAUUAACCAAACAUACUGAUGAUGACUUUAUCACUAUGCUUCUACAAGAUCAUAUUGGUGGCCUCCAAGUUCUUCAUGAAAAUAGUUGGGUUGAUGUAUCACCUGUUCCUGGUGCUCUAGUCAUCAACAUUGGUGAUCUUCUACAGGUGAUUUUUAUCGAGAUUAAUUUUGAUGCAUUAUCGGUAUAAACUUUUUUCUGUUGAUUAACUAAUUAACAAAUUUUCUGUCAAAAAAAGAACUAAUUAACCAAUCUGUUGAAAACAGCUUAUAACAAAUGAUAAAUUCAAGAGUGUUGAGCACAGAGUGGUGGCAAACCAUGUAGGUCCAAGAGUAUCAGUUGCAAACUUUUAUAGCACAAGUUAUCAGCCAUCAACAAGGCUUUAUGGUCCUAUAAAGGAAUUACUAUCAGAAGAUAAUCCUCCAAAAUACAAGGAAACUACAGUUCAGAAUUUUGUUGAAUUCUCCAUGGGAAAAGGCCUUGAUGGAACUUCUGCUUUGCCAUAUUUCAAGAUUGGAAGUUUCUGAUGCACACACAACAACUGUGGUUUAACAUGCUCACAAUAUAAUUAAAAGAACUUUGUAAAAUUUACUUCUUUUGUGUUAACUUCCUUAGCAAGCAAAAGAAGUAAAUGUGUGUAGAGAUAGAGACUAUUACUCCUGUCUUUCCUAUUUGUGAAAAAGUUGUUAAAAAAUACCUAUUUGUGAAAAAGUUGUUAAAAAAAUACUCCCUACUUCAAGUAAUGUAGAUCAGAUUAAUUAAUUAUUCGAUGAAUCUGAAAAGUCUAGUUUUUUGCGUAUAUUUGAAACCAAGGAGAAUAAUGAUCAAUUUUAAUUAAUUUUUAAAGCAAUAUUAAUUGAUUUUUGAAUUGUAUUUUGGGAAUUCUAUGGUACAUCUAUCAAAUUUCAAUGUACCGGUACAAUAGAUUACUAAAGUACUAGGUAAAUGAAUAUUUUUUUCGAAAGAAAUCAUUUUUCUAUUAUUUAAAAUACUAUAAUAACUAAAUACUAUUUAUCAAAAUUGUAAAAAAAAAAUUAUAUUUUUUUGAAUUUGUUAUCACUCAUAAUAGUUAUUAUUGAAUUUUUUUAUGAGAAAAUGUAAAAAAGUUAGCAUAAUGCUAGUGUUUUGAAAAGUUAUUAUUGAACUCGUUUUUUUUUUAUGAAAUUAUCAUUUAUGAAAUACAAUCGACAGAUAGUGUUUUGAUUCAUAAAAUAAUCGUUAAUAUAGUAAUUAUUUGAUCUAAUAUACCAGUACAUUGAAAUUUGAUAGAUGUACCGUAAAAGCUCCCUUGUAUUUUCUAACAAUUUUUUUAAUAACAAUUGUAGUUUCUAAAUAAUAUUGCUUAUGUGAAAUGGUUAAAUGAAUCACUUCACUUAUUGCAAACCAGAAGAGAUAUUAUUUAAUCUUAUCUUUUCCUUAUCCAUAUGGAAGUCCCAAUUUUAUUUUAUUUUAUUUUUGAGAGGUAGAGGAAGUCCCAAUUUUUCAAUGGAUUGUCCCAAUCAUGAAAAUCGGUCCGUUUUUUUUGUUUUUUUGAAUGUCUAAUGGGGGCGGUUAAUUUUCUCAAUACACAAAUUGUCAAAUUUGUUGAACACUAGUAUGUACCAAUUAUUAUGGUGGUCCAUUUUAGCCGUCGCUCAAUUAUUGUGAUUUUGUAUCGACCGACUAUGAAUGUGAAGAACGAUUGUUUUAUAAGAGAGAUGACUCGUAUGUCGCGUCUCCCUCUUUUAUGAUCAUGGGAGCAUUUGAGCCGAUCUCGAACUUCCCCGGACUCCCCAACAUACACUAAACACGAUACUGAUGUGUUAAUAUAUACUAAUAAUAAGUUUUUUAAAAUUGGUAUAAUUGAAGGUAAAUCACAUGUGCUAUGUCGGAUACCAGACAUGUUUUCGAUCAGAAGUGUCGGUGCUACAUAAUACAUAUGACAUAAUGGAUGCAGAUCCACAAAGAGAUUUAAACUUGAAAAACUGUAUCCACAACAGUGAUAAGGAAAAAAAAAAUGGAAAUCUCUAAAAACAAUGAAACUUUAGUGACAACAAAACAUGACUAUGAUAGAGCAAGUGAGCUCAAAGCAUUUGAUGAAACAAAAGAUGGUGUUAAAGGACUUGUUGAUGCUUCUGUCACAAACAUCCCUCGCAUAUUCCAUCAUAAAAUCGACAAGGACUCAUCUUCAACUUCAACCAACAUCAACAAACUUGUUGUUCCUUCUGUUGAUCUUGUUGAUAUUCAACAAGAUCCAACAAGAAGGAAAAUAGUUGUUGAGAAAAUUAGAGAAGCAUCUGAGAAAUGGGGUUUCUUUCAAAUUGUUAAUCAUGGAAUUGAAGUGAGUGUUUUGGAUGAGAUGAAGAAUGGAGUGAUUAGAUUCUUUGAGCAAGAUUCUGAAGUGAAACGGGAACUAUACUCGCGUGAACCUUUGAGGCCUUUGGUUUAUAAUAGCAACUAUGAUCUUUAUAGUUCACCAGCUGCUUCUUGGAGGGAUACCUUUUAUUGUUUUAUGGCUCCGAAAUCUCCUAAACCAGAAGAUUUGCCAUCAGUAUGCAGGUAUGUUAUUGAUAUAAUCUUCAAU